AAAUUGAAGUUAAUACUGCAUAAGCCCCUUCGGGGGGAAAGACGGCCUCUUUGCCGUCGCUUGAAGAUGAGCUCGCGCCCUAUUAGCUAGUUGGUAGGGUAAAGGCCUACCAAGGCUUAGAUGGGUAGCCGGCCUGAGAGGGUGUACGGCCACAUUGGGACUGAGAUACGGCCCAAACUCCUACGGGAGGCAGCAGUGGGGGAUAUUGCACAAUGGGGGAAACCCUGAUGCAGCGACGCCGCGUGGAGGAUGACGGUUUUCGGAUUGUAAACUCCUGUUAAGUGGGAAGAAUGACCUUAGUUUAAUAAACUAAGGGGGUGACGGUACCACUAGAGAUAGCACCGGCUAACUUCGUGCCAGCAGCCGCGGUAAUACGAGGGGUGCAAGCGUUAUUCGGAGUUACUGGCGUAAAGAGUGCGUAGGCGGUCUGCUAAGUUGAUUGUUAGAUUCCUUGGCUCAACUGAGGAUAGGCAGUCAAAACUGACGGACUAGAGGACAAGAGAGAAGGGUGGAAUUCUCGGAGUAGCGGUAAAAUGCGUAGAUCUCGAGAGGAAUAUCGGUUGCGAAGGCGGCCCUUUGGCUUGUAUCUGACGCUAAAGCACGAAAGCGUGGGGAGCAAACAGGAUUAGAUACCCUGGUAGUCCACGCUGUAAACGAUGAUCACUAGAUGUUGGUCGGGUUCGCCUGAUCAGUGUCGAAGCUAACGCGUUAAGUGAUCCGCCUGGGAAGUACGGUCGCAAGAUUAAAACUCAAAGAAAUUGACGGGGGCCCGCACAAGCGGUGGAACAUGUGGUUUAAUUCGACACUACGCGGGGAACCUUACCUAGGCUUGACAUGUAACUGCUACUGGUGGAAACACUGGGUUCUGUAGUAAUACAGACGGUUACACAGGUGCUGCAUGGCUGUCGUCAGCUCGUGUCGUGAGAUGUUGGGUUAAGUCCUUUAACGAGCGCAACCCUUGCCAUCAGUUGCUACUCUUCGGAGGCACUCUGAUGGGACUGCCUGGGGAACCAGGAGGAAGGUGGGGAUGACGUCAAGUCCUCAUGGCCCUUAUGCCUAGGGCUGCACACGUGUUACAAUGGCGAGUACAAAGGGAAGCGAAACUGUGAAGUCUAGCAAAUCUCAGAAAGCUCGUCUAAGUUCGGAUUGGAGUCUGCAACUCGACUCCAUGAAGUUGAAAUCGCUAGUAAUCGCGUAUCAGAACGACGCGGUGAAUACGUUCUCGGGCCUUGUACACACCGCCCGUCACACUAUGAGAGUCGCCAGCACCCAAAGUUGCUUUAGCUAACCGUUAAGGAGGCGAGCAGUUAAGGUGAGGGGGAUGAUUGGAGUGAAGUCGUAACAAGGUA
rnacentral:rRNA from 1 species